rnacentral:misc_RNA from 1 species
AUAAAUAAAUAAAUAAAUAAACUGAGGAAGGCAUCCUCUUCAGAGUUAUGGAGAUGGAACCAGAGAAAAUGAUACCACAUGGUAAACCAGUAGGUUAGGCAUCACCAGUGGAUCUCAACAAUUUCAAAAACUAAGAGUAAAUGCAAUUUGAAGAGAGGAAGGGUAUAAAUGCAUCCAAGGAAACAUCAAAGCACACAUAUGGUGACCCAGACAAUUUCAAGGAGUCUAUAUAAGAUGAUUAACUUCUCAACGAAUUAUUAAGCUCAGCUACUCAGAAUGUUUAUUUAUUCAGUCUUUCACAGCCAAUGAAGUAUAAAGAAUAUUUUGAAUUCUAGUUAACCAUCAGGUUCGAGUGUUUAUUCCAACAAUACCAGAUAAACUAAAGGGAACAUCUAACCCUUGUUCUUAUCAUAUAAAGAAUCAAAUUUUGAUAAACACAUAACAAGAGAAUCAAAUGAUCAAGUAACUACUAUAAACUUUGCCUCAACGCAAUAUUACAUACAUAUGCCAUUGCAAAGAAAGAACUCUUUGGCACAAUGCAGGUAGCAAAAACAGCCAAAAAUGCCAAUCAUGCCAAAUGUCUUGGAAGGAGCAUUUAAGGUCUACAAGCUCAACACACCUGCACUCCCAGCCAGAAAGUAAUGAAACUGUCCAAGUUCACCAACAAAGAAGAAAUAUUAUGUCAUGUCAAUGUUCGGGAAACUACUGAAGCAUUAAAAAAACUCAUCACACGUCUACAUGGAGGUGGCAAGCUGAUAUCAGAGACCACUAAUGAAGGUUCAUCUAAACAGAACACACCCGUUUGGAAAGAGAAAUAUCCACCAAAAUAAAAGGGAGGAAAUCAAACAGAAGAAUGACAAGGAGAGGUAGCAGUCCGAACUCCAAAGCCAAAAAUAAUAGGGGAAUUAUAAAGUGCAAAAUGAGGAAACAGUCAAUAUCAUAACUACUAUGUAGUUUCAAACAAUAUUGCACCAACACCCACGCUCCUCAAGAAGUAUCUUGACAUCAACUGAAAUCUAAAAACCUAAAUAGCCAUAUAAAUCUAAAAUUAUUAACUAGAAUCAUGUACUUGAGAAUAAUGAGGGGAUAAUAGAAAUCAAUUUCUGAAAAACUGAAAGGGAGAAAAAAGUAAAACCAAACCUUAUCUAAUUUAAAAAUGGUAUGUUACUGAGAGAAAUUUAGAUAACCAGAGCACUAACAGAAUGCAACUUGACUGACAGCUAAACCAAUAGAAUGGGCAGAAAAGAUGCUUUGAAGAAUGUAGCAUUAUAGAUGCCACAAAAAAGCUUAAAAUAAAGGACAAAAACUAAAAACUGACCUAGGAGAGGCAUGCACUAAAGGGUAACCAAUUCAGCUGAAAUCAGUCCCAGGCCCCUAGAUGAGAGAGCCUCUUGACACCCUGCUUUGAGAUAAUAGGAGUUCUAUAAGUUUUCGCAAGUUUUAAGACUAAUAAAAUUUAUUGUGCCCAAUUGCUAAAGGAAAGCACAGGAAGGAAAUGACUUGGGAAACUGCUGCCUAUCUUAAAACCAUAACUGAAAGAAAGCAAACUUAACAACAAUGCUAAGCAUACUACACGUCAUACAUUAAUUAGAAAAUCAUAUAAAACAAUUUCAAAUGGUCAAAUUUCAUGAUUAUCAAUGCAUAGUAAAGAUAAAGUACAGCAGGAGUAGAGAACAGGCAUUCAACUAAAGAAACACUGAUGACUGCAUAUAAGCAUACGGCAUA